GCACCAGACCCAAGUUCCCUGGAAAGGGACGUCAGAGAGGGUGACAACCCCGUCGAGUCUGGACCGUGCUGUUCCACGAGGUGCUGUCUGCGAGUCGGGCUGUUUGGGAAUGCAGCCCUAAGUGGGUGGUAAAUUCCAUCCAAGGCUAAAUAUUGGCAAGAGACCGAUAGCUAACAAGUACCGCGAGGGAAAGAUGAAAAGGACUUUGAAAAGAGAGUUAAAAAGUGCUUGAAAUUGCUGGGAGGGAAGCGAAUGGAAGCUGCGGGUGUGCCCCGGUUGGAUGUGGAACGGCCUCAAGGCUGGUCCGCCGCUCAACGCGGGGCACUGGUCAGCGUGGGCCAUCGCGGCGGGACAAGAGCGGGAUGUAGUUUCCCGCCUAUGCCGUUGUGGUGGCCGAGGAACGAAGCGUGCGCCACUCGUGGCGUGGGACUCGUCCCAACUGCACGCUCGGGACGCUGGCGUAUUGAGCUCUUCAUCCGACCCGUCUUGAAACACGGACCAAGGAGUCUAACAUGUAUGCGAGCCGGUGGGCGGCAAACCCAUUGAGGCGCAAGUAAACUGACA
rnacentral:rRNA from 1 species